rnacentral:sRNA from 1 species
GGAGGAAAAUAAAUGGAAACAAUAGGAAGCAUUAUUUAUUU